CUGCAGCCAGUUAAGGUGACCACCCCUUCUCCCCAUGGGGUCCCAGCGUGUAGUGGUUGCAGACAGCAGCCUCCUUGGUAGUUAAUGGAGCCUGUUGCUUGUACAGGUUGCCCUAAGGAACCUUGCAAAGAGUA
ensembl:snoRNA SNORA70 Small nucleolar RNA SNORA70